AUACGGAGGGUGCAAGCGUUGUCCGGAUUUACUGGGUUUAAAGGGUCCGUAGGCGGGUCUUUAAGUCAGUGGUGAAAUCCUACGGCUCAACCGUAGAACUGCCAUUGAUACUGAAGAUCUUGAGUAUAGUUGAGGUAGGUGGAAUUUAUGAUGUAGCGGUGAAAUGCAUAGAUAUCAUAAAGAACACCAAUUGCGAAGGCAGCUUACUAAACUAUUACUGACGCUCAGGGACGAAAGCGUGGGGAGCGAACAGGAUUAGAAACCCCAGUAGUCC
rnacentral:rRNA from 1 species